rnacentral:rRNA from 1 species
UACAGAGGGUGCAAGCGUUAAUCGGAAUUACUGGGCGUAAAGCGCACGUAGGUGGCUUGAUAAGUUGGGUGUGAAAUCCCCGGGCUUAACCUGGGAAUUGCAUUCAAGACUGUCUUGCUAGAGUGUGGAAGAGGGAAGCGGAAUUCCAGGUGUAGCGGUGAAAUGCGUAGAUAUCUGGAGGAACAUCAGUGGCGAAGGCGGCUUCCUGGUCCAACACUGACACUGAGGCGCGAAAGCGUGGGGAGCGAUCCGG